CCUAGGGUGGCUGCAGUGGGGAAUAUUGGACAAUGGGCGAAAGCCUGAUCCAGCCAUGCCGCGUGUGUGAAGAAGGCCUUCGGGUUGUAAAGCACUUUCAGUGGGGAAGAAAGCCUUGGGGCUAAUACCCUCGAGGAAGGACAUCACCCACAGAAGAAGCACCGGCUAACUCCGUGCCAGCAGCCGCGGUAAUACGGAGGGUGCGAGCGUUAAUCGGAAUUACUGGGCGUAAAGCGCGCGUAGGCGGUCUGAUAAGCCGGUUGUGAAAGCCCCGGGCUCAACCUGGGAACGGCAUCCGGAACUGUCAGGCUAGAGUGCAGGAGAGGAAGGUAGAAUUCCCGGUGUAGCGGUGAAAUGCGUAGAGAUCGGGAGGAAUACCAGUGGCGAAGGCGGCCUUCUGGACUGACACUGACGCUGAGGUGCGAAAGCGUGGGUAGCAAACAGGAUUAGAUACCCGGGUAGUC
rnacentral:rRNA from 1 species